UACGAAGGGGGCUAGCGUUGCUCGGAAUCACUGGGCGUAAAGCGCACGUAGGCGGCUUGUUAAGUCAGGGGUGAAAUCCUGGAGCUCAACUCCAGAACUGCCUUUGAUACUGGCUAGCUUGAGUUCGGGAGAGGUGAGUGGAACUGCGAGUGUAGAGGUGAAAUUCGUAGAUAUUCGCAAGAACACCAGUGGCGAAGGCGGCUCACUGGCCCGAUACUGACGCUGAGGUGCGAAAGCGUGGGGAGCAAACAGG
rnacentral:rRNA from 1 species